UUGAAAGGGAAACGAUUGAAGUCAGUCGUACCGGCGGAUAAUCAACCUUUCGGCGUGAUUAUGUGGAGCGUGAGGAGUCAAACGCCCUCAUGCCUGCAUAUUCGUGUUCUUUGGGUGUACUUACCCGCAUGGUAGGUUAACAUCAAUUUCGAACGUCAUAAAAUGGUUGGAGGAAUGUAGCUUCGAUCUCGUAUUGAAGUGUUAUAGCCUUCGGCAGAUGUGAUGAUCGGGAUUGAGGAUUGCAACGGAUACCCCUCGGGCUACCCGUCUGAUCUCUGAAAGUUACUCUGGUGCCGAAAGCUCGCUUACGGUCAUCAAAGUUGACGUUCAACAGAUUAGAACGGGAUAAAUUCGUUAAGGAUGUUGACGUA
rnacentral:rRNA from 1 species